GGCAAAUCAACUACUGAAAUCCAUAUAUAAAUCCGCUAGAAUCCCACGAUAAUGAUUAGUUCAUAAUCGAACUUCUCAUCAUCAUGGGUUCGAAUGUAAACAUGGUACGGAAUAGUCUAAACAAUAUUAAAAGAGUAAAACAAGAGUUUCGAAACAAAUCCGAAUGAGCAUCCAAAGUUACGCCUACUUCGAAGAAUUACAAAGAUGAAAUUAUGAACUAGAUCUUCUUCGUAGCCGUCACGUGCUCCUUGGAAUGAUUCUAGGUUAUUAGGCUUCUCCCUUGAGCUUUUGUUUAAGUCCCACAGCGAUCGGGCCUUCAAACGGAUCAAGAA
rnacentral:lncRNA from 1 species